AGGUAGAAUGUCAACUGUUUUCUUUCAGCUUCAAGAGUUUUACAUUCUCCACUUUGCGUCUAAUCAUUAUUAAAAGCAAACAAGUGUGUUGACCAUUCUGUGUGCACUUUCUCAAGCGGCAAAUGAAUCUUGGUUAUCCAUCCCCUUUGCCAUUACUGAUGCAGCUGCCUGGGUGCCAGGAAAGAAAUUGGGUUUUCUUCUUGUCAAAGUCGUGUUUGUUCACUUGCUUCUGACCUCUGCUACAUCCUUCCCCACCGAGGAACAGAUGCUCCCGCGCUCGGCAGCAGCUGAGGGGUGAGAAGGUGACGCCAGCCAGGAGACCGUCCUCCGUGUCUCAAGCUUGUCUUCAACUGAAGUUCAUCCUCAUCUAUUCCAGGCUCUGCUUCAGUCACAGCACAGCCUCCUGUUCACAAGACCGGUUCACAGAGAGGGUUUCUGAAAGCCAAGCAAAGUAGGGGCGAUAUAUUUGAGAAUUUUGUCCCACCUGAAGUCAUGUAGUUAUGCUGAGAUAGUGUUUUGAGCUUGAGCCUGUAUAUUAGUUGCUGGAAUCCAAAUGAAAAAUUAAGCGAAUGAGAGACCCCAGAAAGUCUUCCCCUUCCUCUUCCCCUCCCUCUCCUUCUCUUUCUCCUUCUCCUUUGUUAUCUCCAUCUUCUCCUUCAUUUUUGCCAUCAUCAGGAAAAGCAUACUUUUCUUAUCUGUUCUAAUUGAUUCAUUGUGUCUCUCCUUCCACUACACUCUAAGUUCCUUGAGGGUAGAGGGCAAAACUGUCUUAUUCAUCCAUGUAUUCCUUGCACAAAUAUUAGAAACUGAAUGAAUAUUUGUUAAGUGAAUUAACAGAUGGGCUUUUGAAAGUCAAUGAGAUUAAGACAACUAGGAUAACUGAAUUAACCUUUGUAAGUUGGUUUUUGUGUCAUGGCUGGGUUACAGCCCUGUGAAGAGACAGCCUCUGUGUGAUGUAAAGCAGGUAGACAUUACAAUCAGAAUGCUCUUCUCUCAAAUCUAUCUCUUCCUUUACUGCUGUUCUGACUUGGGAUAAAUGGUCCAUCUUCUUUUUUAAAAUAUGGGUCUGAUGAGAUGAUUGCAUAAAGUAGUCAGUUUCUGGCAUGUAGCAGUUUUUCCAUCAGUACGAUUUCCUUUUGCCAGGUAUAAUGAUGUUUCCCUUUAAUUGGCAGUUAUGCCCAUCAUCUCUUCUGCGGGUGCUGCCAGGAAGCUCAGGUCUGAAGCACGCUCUGGGCUUCUGUUUCUAAGGCUAGUCCGUUAUUUUCUAGUGUUCAUUUUGAUCUUAUUUGAAUAGACUCAUUGUAGCUGGAAUGUUUACUCUAAGCAGCUUCACACCGCUUUGGAGGGUGCUCAUUGUUUGGUAUAAUGUGUGUGAAUGUAACUGCUCAUCAUUAUUCAUCCCUGCUUGCGCAAUUUUAGUAUUAUACGAUACAGCCAAAAGACAGAAUGUUCCCAUCAUUUCAUCACUUCGAUGAAGGGAGGAAUCAGCUGGGAAUGGAAGCUCCUGGUACCGUUGGUUUCCCCUUUGCUAUCAGCUGAUGGGCAGCAGGCUUGACAAAGUCCACAAGCUGAACCGGAAAACCUCUUGCAGCAAGAAACCUCCGAUGGCUCAAAUGGAUUAACUACUUCUGAGCAUUAGAGACUGAGAUGAAUCCUCCAGUAGAAAAUCUCAUUACAGAUGGUCCGGAGCCAGGCAGAUUAGAAUGCUUACUGUUCCAGCGCUAGGACACGUUUAGAGGUGAGAAAGAUAAAAACAUUUCUUUCUUAAGUGGACGAUUUCCCAGAAGGUAAUAGGAAAGGAGUCUAAAUCAUGGUUAAAAAAGAAAAAGAAUACAUUAUCUGUUUGAUGUUUACCCAUUGGAAGAUCUUACAAGUUAAGAAGAAAGUAAUAUCUUUGAGGGGGUUCACAUUUAAAAUCAGUUAUGAACAAAAUCUGAUGGUAUUGAGUGUUUGCAUUAGAUAAGCUCCCCAAAGCCUAAUUCUCAAAGAUCUUACAUUUCCAUUAGUUUUCCUUUCUACCAUUCUACCAAUGUAACAAAAAGAGUGCUGGACAGCUGCUUAUUAACUUUGCAACCUUGAGCAAUUCACAGAAACCAUGUCUAGGCAUCCUACUGUUUAUUUGUAAAGUGAGAGAGUUAAUCCUUCUCUUCUCUUCCUACUGUUCCCGUCCUGUUUCGGGUCCUCAAUAUUGCUUCUCAAGGCAAUCUCAAAAACUAUCCUUCCUGUAGAGUAUUACCCUUUCCGGUCAACUCUUCACAUCGCUCCUGGAAUUAUUUUUUGGCAAAUGAAAAUGUGACUUUUUUUGCAAAACCUUGAUCUUUGACUAGGGCAGAGGUCUCCUUCAACUGCCACCUCUCUGCCAGCACUGGUCAUUACAAAUAGGGUCAUGUGGUAUUUAAGAAUAAAAUUUGCAUUAGUUGCUCUGUCAGUUAAGUGCUCAUGCAAUACCCCUGGGUGCUGUGAUACUUCCUAGUCUUCCUCUAAGUUAUAUUGAGGGCAAGUGACUCAUUCCAGCUAAUGAACGUCUGCUGCCAAGGUGGUUAAGCAGCAGCGUACUUCCUCCUCUCUUGCUUCAAUGACCUGGAAGACCGUGAGAUUCUGUUGACAAAAGUACAAAAAGGAAGAGAGAUGUUCUACCCAUAUUGGACUUGGUAGGAGUGAGAAAAGAGCUGUCAUUAGGUUAUACCAUUGAGCAUUGGGGGCCUCUUUGUUUUCACAGCACAGCACAGCAUAGCCUGACUAAUAAAGUUGCUAACAUUUAAAAAGUCACAGAAAAUCUUGAUUCUGAGCUUUAAUGAAAAGCUAGAAAAUCUCUGACACUGGGUUUGAACACCCAGAAGGCAGCAAUGUGCUGCCCCUUGUGCCCACUGGGACUUGUGCUCUCAUCCACUUUGUCUUUUCCCUUCUCCUCUUAUUUUCAUUAUCUGUCCAGCUAUUGUUCUAUGUAUUUGAGUUUGUAGCCCCUGGCUACAGUUCAAGACACAGUUCAAACCCUCAAGUGUGGCAUAAUGCAUCUUUCAUGAUUUGGGCUUAUUUGUCCCUGCGACCAUAAAAUCCAGCGCCAAAUGCACCCCCGAUAUUGAAUAAUUUGAAGUUGCUCAAAGGUUUCAUUGCAUUCCAUGCCUCUGCUAUUUGGAAUAUUCUGGUCUCUUUGCCAGGAGUAUCCUUCCUGAAUUGUUCAUUUUUCAAUACCCGGUUCCUAUUUUACCUUUUUGGGAAAUCUCUCCAAUGCCAGUCUUGUAUUUCUCCCGAAAGAUUUCUCCAUUCUAACACUUAAUCUUUUGUUCUGUCUUAUUUAUCUUUGAAUUCUCAAAUCCCAGUACAGUGCCUGACACGGUGGAGGGGCACACUCCAUGCUAAUGCGGAAGCUGUUGAAGUAUAGGAUUUAUUUUUCAAAUCUCAAAGCAACCUGUUCACGUGUUAACAAUUCAAAUAACACAGAAAAACUCAUGGUGGAAUGAAUAUUCCCCCCUUUUCACUUUAGAGCCACUACUCAGAAACAGCCUCUUUUUCAUACAAUUUCCGCUUUUAUUUAUUCUAUUGUUGGCCUCCAUUACCCUAAGUACAAUGUUAGAAACUGUAUUUCUUUUUUUUUUUUUUUUUUUGCGGGACGCGGACCUCUCCCUGCUGUGGCCUCUCCCGUCGCGGAGCACAGGCUCCGGACGCGCAGGCUCAGCGGCCAUGGCUCACGGGCCCAGCCGCUCCGCGGCACGUGGGAUCUUCCCGGACCGGGGCACGAACCCGUGUCCCCUGCCUCGGCAGGCGGACUCCCAACCACUGCGCCACCAGGGAAGCCUGGAACUGUAUUUCUUGCUUUACUGUUCUUCCUCCUCCCUAUCCUCUUCCCAGCAUUUGAUGGUGCUAUUCCUGUGCUUUACAUUCUGUCAGUUGCCUUUAUAACUCUAAGAAAAAGCUCAAAUUCCUUUUUGUUUCUGUUCCUUUGAUAGCGUCUCUUAAAGCUAGCGUCUCCUUUCCUUUCCUCCCCUUCUCCCUCCCCCCUCCCCCAUAGCCUCAUUCUGCAGACUACACUUUCUGCUGACAAGGAUGUUCAUUAUGUAUAUUACAUUUUCACCCUAAUCUGGUCUUCCCUGAUUGAUUUAUUCAUUCAGCUCAAUUCCUUUGUUCUUAAAGCAACACCAGGUGCCCACCCCAAACAUUCGUACUUAUGUCUCCCCACCCCCAAUACACAUCUCCUUCCCAGGCAACCCAUUGCUCACCUGUCCUUCAAAAGCAAAGAAAAACCUUUUUCUGCUGUGAAAGCUUCCAGCCAGAUCUGUUUUGUCCUCCUUUCUCUACUAUUUCCUAAAUUAUCAUGAAAGUACAUCAUGAAAGCUGAGAGCUGGGUCAGGGACUGUCCCAGGCACUCUGUGUAGGAAAAGAAAUAUAGUUGUGCAAGCUAGGGAAAUCAGGAGUCAAAAUUUUUCUUUGUGGACACAGAUUAGACUUAAUGGGCUGAAUUAGUCAAUCUAGAAAUGGACCUGUUUUAGAGCCAGGUCUAUCAUUUUUUAACCAUGUGGUAUUUUUGAAGCAUAAUUCUGCAGUCCUUACACUUCAGAGCUGUCAGUCUCCCUGAGGAAGCAGCCAGUGUAAGGGAGGGAUGCAUAAUCAUAAGCACUUUAAUGUUUGCAGUGUAAUUAGCCCAGCAUCGGUAGGUUGGAGUCUUGCGUUCCUGAUCCAGAACUAGCAAUUGUUGGCUGGAAAACAUCAAACAAGUGGGCUUAAUGUCUUUCUGAACUUCUUCAAUACUUGAGAAGUUUGGAUGCAAUUACUUUCAGGGUCAUUUCAAACCUUAGUCUCCAAUAAUAUCACUCCCCUGGUAAAGAUGUUGUGGUCUCCUUAUUCAUUUCUGCUAUCAGAGUCACCUGUUGUACCCAUCUAUGAAGGGACUCUUUGGUGACUUUCUUAAUGAAUAUCUGUCUUUUAAUCUACCUGGCAUUUAUUCUCUCUCCUUCUAGUAAUCUAAUUCUGAUUUUCCAUGGAGGCAUACCCUAUACAUCUGCACGUGUGACCUUGAUGGAGUUGACCACAACCUCUAACUCUAGCACUAUGCCCAACAGAGCUCAAGUCUGCAUACUCUCUGACCCAGGCCUUCUCUGACGCUGCAGGAACCUUCUUAGCCUGAAGGCAAGUGCAGUCCAGAAGCGUGGGCAGGAUCCUGUAGCUGAAUCCUUCAGCCUCCUUACCCUUCAGUGGACGAAUCUGAGGGGCGUGAUCAUGUCCCAGCAGACUUGACAAAUAGAGAUGGGUCUCUGGAUUUAGACAUAGAUGGGGGGAUCACAUACUUGAAGGUGAGAAUUGAAAAUAUGUGAUGGGUGAGACCACCCAGGGAUAGAUGGCAAGGUGAACACACAAAGGCAUAAAUAAACAGAUGUAUUAGAAGUUCUUUGAAGUCAUUAAAUGAUAGUUAAUGUGCUUGGGGGAAAGCAAUCCAAAUUAGAUGUUUACGAUAAUAGACUCUAAGAAAUGAGGUCUUGUUCUUUGAAGAUUUCAUCCCAAUGAACUACAGGUCAAAGUGGUCCCCAGAACAGAGAUAAAACGAAGCAGGGAAUGACACCGCAAUUUCUCCCAUAUUAUGGGCUAUGCACUUUGUAGCUGGACCUUAGUGAGAGCAUUAUAGAGCAGAAGGAUGCAAAGAGAGAAAGGACGUGCUCAGAGUACUUAUGCUGGGCUAGGCAUCACACACACCAUGUGCCACUUUAUCUUGGGGCCACCCUAGGAGAUAGGUGCUGUUGUCAUAUCCCUUUUAUAGGGAAAGGGGCAAGUGACAGAAGCCAAGAUUCUGCCUGAUGCUAAAGUCUUCACAUCUCUACUGUGAUGAUUAUGCUAUGUAGUCUUUUUUGUGGAUAUCCUACACUUUCUUGUAGAACAAUAAUUUGUACACAUGUUUUAUCCUCCAUGCAUGCUGCUGGUGGCAGAUUCCAAACGUAUUUUCUAAUUAUGAAUUAUGCAACCUAGCAUAGUACAUUAUGAGUGAAAUUUGAUUAAUAAUUGUCUAUGAAGAAGGGAAGUUCUAUUGAAUAAAUGUUGGCUAGAUCAUAGAUUGAGCCCUCAUGAUUGUAAUAAGUUGGACUGUUGUUGAGCAUUAUCUAUUCCCCUCAUCCACUCACUGUGGUUAGAGUACAUUUCCUACCCAUUAAUGUUGGGUUUGGCCAUGUGACCUAUUUUGACUCUGGGAUGUUAAUACACAUGAAACAAACA